GCAUCGACCAGAGGGAAAAGGAGCAAUCCGCUUUGAGAUGGCCUCGCGUCCGAUUAGCUAGUUGGUGAGGUAACGGCCCACCAAGGCAACGAUCGGUAGCCGGACUGAGAGGUUGAACGGCCACAUUGGGACUGAGACACGGCCCAGACUCCUACGGGAGGCAGCAGUGGGGAAUAUUGCACAAUGGGGGAAACCCUGAUGCAGCGACGCCGCGUGGAGGAAGAAGGUCUUCGGAUUGUAAACUCCUGUUGUUGAGGAAGAUAAUGACGGUACUCAACAAGGAAGUGACGGCUAACUACGUGCCAGCAGCCGCGGUAAAACGUAGGUCACAAGCGUUGUCCGGAAUUACUGGGUGUAAAGGGAGCGCAGGCGGGAAGACAAGUUGGAAGUGAAAUCCAUGGGCUCAACCCAUGAACUGCUUUCAAAACUGUUUUUCUUGAGUAGUGCAGAGGUAGGCGGAAUUCCCGGUGUAGCGGUGGAAUGCGUAGAUAUCGGGAGGAACACCAGUGGCGAAGGCGGCCUACUGGGCACCAACUGACGCUGAGGCUCGAAAGUGUGGGUAGCAAACAGGAUUAGAUACCCUGGUAGUCCACACCGUAAACGAUGAUUACUAGGUGUUGGAGGAUUGACCCCUUCAGUGCCG
rnacentral:rRNA from 1 species